GUUUGAUGUGUAGAGACUUUGAUACUCUUUGUCCCCAGAAAUUGGUGUGUUUGAACUUUACUACUCAGUUCAAAAUUUACCAAUAUUUAGGAAGAGCAUGUUUGAAUUGAAGUAUUUUGUUUCUGUCUAUUUUAAGCUGUCCAAUGCUAUCAUAUAGCUGUCAGUAAGAAUACGGACUGAGUUUGAGUCAAGGUAAAGGAUUUAGAUUGAACUUGAAUAAGGUGCAUAUGAUUUUCUAAUGCAGAGAGUAGAGGGGUGGGUCUAGAGGGUACAUAGUAACUUUUCUUGAAAUAAUCAAAUAUGUAAUGGAAAGCUGACUCAUACAUUUAGAUUUCUUUAAAAUGAUAAUGUUCUCAAUUAAAUCAUUGCUACUUUUUUUCAAUGAAAAAUUAUUAAAUAUUUCCACUGUCUUUAUAUUUCCAUUCUUGAGAAAUAGUUUUCUCUUUUUUAUUUUCUUUUUUAUUUUUUGUGUGUGAACUCACUUCCAUAUUGACAUGUAAAAUAACUAUAAAUCAUAAUUAGUGAUGAAAGGGGUGAAAAUUCUCAGGCAAUUCUCAUUCUUCAGAGAUAAAAGUUUCAAAACCACAUGAUAACCUUGAUUAUAUUAUCUUGGUAUCUUCUACAAUAUAUUUCUGCUUUUAUUACAAGUUUCAUGAAAAAUUGAUGACUAGAAAAAUGUUAAGGAAGAAAUAUAAGCAUGACAUCAUAAGUCUGUUAAUCGUCUGGAUAGAAACGAGAAACGAUAAAUGAUCAGAGAACAUAAAACAAUAAGAUCUCUACUGUUGUCAUUACUUCUGUGCUGUAUGUGGUAUCAUAUAAUGGAACUGGUUAAAAAUACAUGAACAUUAAGACUUAACUCAUGCUUGGAACUUUACUGAUGGCAAACACUGGACUAACAUGACAACAGAUCAAUAAUAUAUAGAUAGGUUUUGUAACACAAUAUUUGGUUAUUAUGAUGGAGGGGUUGGUUAUCAUUUUACCAAUGGUCAAUUGAUUGAAGUUCCUCACCAAAAUUUUAAAAUAUCCAUCAAAAUGUUUAAUUUUCCAAAAUUUUGAUUUUUG
rnacentral:lncRNA from 1 species